rnacentral:lncRNA from 1 species
UGGACUCCUCAGAUCUACACUGCAUAGCUGGUGUGCAAUGUCAGGAGCUAAAGCAGGCCUGCAAAGGGAUGCCAGGGAUUCAGCCCAAAACAUAAAGCCAGGUAUGUGACAAUAUGUGGGUAGAAAAGAGGCAUGAGGACAUGAGGAACUACAAGUGUGGGUACUCAGGGCAGGGGCACAAGGGGUAGGGAGCCAGGGCUGGGCUCCCUGUGUGCAACAGUCUUCUGGAGCAGGUGGAUUGGGAGGGGCUUUCUGAAAAGGUGUUGACCCUGGAUCCUGCAGUCCACAUUUUACACUGGGUGAGCAGUCAAGUAAGUGACUAAGGUGCAGAGGGAAAGGCCACACGGGAAGCCCAAAGCAUAAAGCCAGUGGCAUAUGGGAGGUUGGUAAGGCAGCCAGGGUAGUGGCCAGUCUGGGAGGGGACAGUGUGCCAGGGCACCCUCAGGACAAGGGGACUCCAGCAUGAUGUAUAGGAGCAGCUGGAGGAGGCCAGGUGCCUUAGGUCAGGCACUUCACCAUGAAAUAAUGAGGUGAAGGUUUGAGUGAGGUGAGCAUAUUCAAGGGCCAAAGAAGCUCUGGUGCCUAACAUGAAGCCAGGUGUUUAAAGGAAGGUAGGUAAGGCAUGGCUCUGAGGGCAGGAGGAGCUCAGAGAAGGGCCAAUUUGGACAUGGUGCUGGAGGAAGAGGGCAUGUACAGGUGGUUUGGCCCAGGGUCAACACCCACAGUCAUUAGGCUUGGAUCAUUUAGGCUGAGUCCUUAAUGAAUAGGGUCAGGAAGAAAGUAAACCUGGUAGCUAAAGCUAGGUUUUAGGUUAAAAACCUCAAGGUAAGGCUGGAUGGAUAAAGUUAGCAGGGAAAGUCCAGGUAGUAAGGGGAUGGGCAAAGCUGUGUGGGUAAAACUCGAGUCCAGCUGAGUCAGGACAGGAGGGUGAUGAGGUCAGGUGGGUGUGGGUAGCAGGUCAAGGCUCAAUCCAUAGGAAGGCGGGAGUAAGCAGUCAGGAGUUACAGCCAGGUAGUUCCAGGACAGUGAGUUCAGGCCGUCAUGGCUGGAGCUUGAGAGAUGUGAGUGAAACCUAAGCAGUCACAGCUCAGAGCAGCGUGUCCUCUGCCCAGCUCCCUCGCGUUAACCUUCGGUCUCCCCCAGUUGUCCUGACACAGGAAGAGCUCCCAGCAGAGCACAGGAUGUACUCCAGGUCCCCUUAGUGCCCUCUGUGUCAUCCCCUUCACGGUCCAGUGGAGUGAGGCGGGACACAGCCACCUCACUGGGGCUGCAGCAGCGGUCAGGACGGCUCCCCUUCUCACCUGCUCGCUUGUUCAGAGUCAAGGUCACGCUGUCCCCAGGUCUUCAGGAGUCACUGAUGCUCCUGGCUCUCUGGGGCGAGCCUCACUUUGUAACUUGCGCAGGGUGGCUCUCAGGAGUGAGGUCGCCAGGGACUUCCUUGUGUACAGUGCUCCAUCACCGCUAGAAGGAAUGGAGGAAGAGACUUGGGAAAAUGCUCAGGGCCAGGGUCUGCAGGUGGAGGCCUCGGCUACCUGUGGUGGAAAAUGGCUUUCUCUUGGUCGUGGAGAGGGGCUGGGGUGGGGGCUGCGCCUCUGCCAGCAGCAGCAGGGCCCAGAGGAAGACGGGGUGGCUCAGGGUCUGCUUUCUGCCCAUGCUGAAUCCCACCUCAGUGGAACUCCAGCAGCACGGGCCCUGUGACAGAAGGACAGGGGCUGGGAUGUGGGCCACUCAAAUGGCCCACGACAGAGAAAUCAUGGAAGUCCUCUUUGGUGAUCAAAAAUAGAGUGAAUGCUGCUGCUGCGAGCCACCCAGUGGAAAGGCAGACUGGAACAUGAUGGUGUGUCCUCGUCCACCUUGUCCACCAG